AACGAACGCUGGCGGCAGGCUUAACACAUGCAAGUCGAGCGCCCCGCAAGGGGAGCGGCGGACGGGUGAGUAACACGUGGGAACGUGCCUUUAGGUUCGGAAUAACUCAGGGAAACUUGUGCUAAUACCGAAUGUGCCCUUCGGGGGAAAGAUUUAUCGCCUUUAGAGCGGCCCGCGUCUGAUUAGCUAGUUGGUGAGGUAAAGGCUCACCAAGGCGACGAUCAGUAGCUGGUCUGAGAGGAUGAUCAGCCACAUUGGGACUGAGACACGGCCCAAACUCCUACGGGAGGCAGCAGUGGGGAAUCUUGCGCAAUGGGCGAAAGCCUGACGCAGCCAUGCCGCGUGAAUGAUGAAGGUCUUAGGAUUGUAAAAUUCUUUCACCGGGGACGAUAAUGACGGUACCCGGAGAAGAAGCCCCGGCUAACUUCGUGCCAGCAGCCGCAGUAAGAC
rnacentral:rRNA from 1 species